rnacentral:rRNA from 1 species
UUGCUUUGCUUCGAAAGUAGCGUUAUGUUCCGUGCGUGUGUGACGAAGAAGAAGAGAGGAAUAUUUUUGGCGGCAGGGAGGGUAAGCGAGAACGGUAGGUAGGGGUAGGAAGGGAGGGAGGGGACUCGGCUCGGCACGACACUCCCACCCCCCGUUCCGUUUGAUCAGUUAGGCAGGGUCAGAGGAAAGGAAGGUAGGAAGACGAGUCCGGCUCCAGAGGCAGAGGGGACGGAGCGGAGGAUGGUACCGACGGUCCACCCGGGGCGGCCGGCCGGAGGACGACGAGGACGACGACCGCCAGGACGACGGCCGCGCGCGCCUGUCCGGCCGCUCCUGGCGGGUGCGUCUGCUGCUGGGCCUCCGGAGGAGGCGGCACAAGGUCGAGAUGCCGUUGCAGAUGGGGGUGCCCAACAUGAUGCACCGGUACUUGUAACCGUUGGGCCGCUUUGGUAUGAAGGAACUGCAGCUGUGGCCGUCGCUGGAGUGGACCGACGUCACGCUGCGGGGGACGCAGUCGACGAGGUUCCACGGUGUGGGCGAGAUGUCUGGUUGUUUCUUGUUCGACCAUGGCACACAACUAGUCGACACGCGGAGAGACGUACCGCCGGAGUCAUUUUUGGUGUUCACGCUGAGUGGCUUCGUCGUCACACUGAUACUUCAAUUCAUACGGCUGGUCCCAAGUAGGGAACCGCACGAGCAGUUGCUGUCAAAACGUCAGGCGGAACGCUUACGGAGGCAACAGGCGGGGUCAGAACGUAAGCCCACACCCAUACUGGUCCUCCAGCCCUCGUCGUGACUCCAACGCGGGUGACUACCACACGAACCCGAACCCUCACCUAGCUAGUCGGACGAAAGUGUCGAGUUCGUCGUACCAUAGUGGUUCUUGCACCAACCGGUGACGGAGUCGUACUCUCCUCCCCCUAAGGAGAAGAAACCCCUAUUAGAGCACGGAAUAAGUGCACGUUGUACCCAUGGUUACCGAUCCUCACGUAAGUCCUUAAUAAUGAGUGGACCGAGUCGUUCGGACAUAAAACCACCGGCCAGUGAACCGCACUCUGGUUACCUUCAUCAUAACCUGUCGCCUUCGAGCAAGUGGAUGAAAAGAAGUGUCGGUAUAGUUAGCGAACAGUGACGUGAAUUCCCACUAGAUUCGUUCCGCGACUUUCUCCACAGACUGGGGAGAGACGGAGAUACGACCUUUCCUUUCUUUGGUAAGUUUAGGCACGAACUACAGUUCUUCCUCAAGUUUAGUAACCAAGACUUGAAACGGUUACCGUUCUUCCGUGAGUACCUCUAGGGAGGACUCUUGAUGGAGUAGCAGUGAUUUAUGCCCUUACGUACAAACCCGUAGGAAUUGCCUAGUCUCUAACCUGAGUUCCUAGACUUGUAACAACCUCUAUAAUGUUACGUCCUAGUCUACCACUAUAUACUGUUACUCUCUCCCGUCUAACCUACCUAGGCUCGUGGGACACUAUCUUAGGGGUUCAAGCCUAGAAGGGAAGACACUAGUAAAGUGUGUGGACUUGUAUAUAUGGGAAUUAAGAGAAGACAAAUAAGUUUGUCACUUUUAUGGUAAGUACCUAAACUCCUUCCAAUAACAACCGGGGUCAAGGGGUCGUAGAAACCAUAAGUCUUACUUCUUACACGUCGAAUGAUGGCAAGCAUGUUUCUCACUUAUUGUUCCCCUCCGGUAACCCAACUACCUACCUGUUUUUAUUAGUAGGUCCCUCCGAGAUAUGUGCUUCAAUCCUUGCACAUAAGAAAUCUUUUCUCUCUUUUUUUUUAGACCAUCGGACAUUAGUAGCGGUACACGUAUACUUUAUAUAUUAAUAAGGCAAGAAUACUUCGUGUCUACAAUGAUGAAGAACACUAAUGAACUCUACAAAAUAUACCUCGUAUACCGCCUACUCCUUACCGAGAGAACGUUUAAUUGGACCUGACGCAACGUCCAUAAAGACCUCAACCGAAAGCCUUGAAGUUCUUGACUUUGAACUCGUUGACUUGGACGGGAACUUACGGUCAGUCAAAUAAAGUCAUAUUAGACAUCUUAACAAGAAACACACAAUCAGAAACCGCUUCAAACACUACGAAGGUCAAUUUAGUGGUACAAAGCCUUGACUGUAAAAAG